AGGACGAACGCUGGCGGCGUGCUUAACACAUGCAAGUCGAGCGGAAAGGCCCCUUUGGGGGGUACUCGAGCGGCGAACGGGUGAGUAACACGUGAGUAACCUGCCCCUGACCUCGGGAUAAGCCUGGGAAACUGGGUCUAAUACCGGAUAUGACUACUUCGGGGCAUCCGAUGGUGGUGGAAAGUUUUUUCGGUUGGGGAUGGGCUCGCGGCCUAUCAGCUUGUUGGUGGGGUAGUGGCCUACCAAGGCGACGACGGGUAGCCGGCCUGAGAGGGCGACCGGCCACACUGGGACUGAGACACGGCCCAGACUCCUACGGGAGGCAGCAGUGGGGAAUAUUGCGCAAUGGGCGGAAGCCUGACGCAGCGACGCCGC
rnacentral:rRNA from 1 species